AUUGAACGCUGGCGGCAUGCCUUACACAUGCAAGUCGAACGGUAACAGGUUAAGCUGACGAGUGGCGAACGGGUGAGUAAUAUAUCGGAACGUGCCCAGUCGUGGGGGAUAACGUAGCGAAAGCUACGCUAAUACCGCAUACGAUCUACGGAUGAAAGCGGGGGAUCGCAAGACCUCGCGCGAUUGGAGCGGCCGAUAUCAGAUUAGGUUGUUGGUGAGGUAAAAGCUCACCAAGCCUGCGAUCUGUAGCUGGUCUGAGAGGACGACCAGCCACACUGGAACUGAGGCACGGUCCAGACUCCUACGGGAGGCGGCAGUGGGGAAUUUUGGACAAUGGACGCAAGUCUGAUCCAGCAAUGCCGCGUGCAGGACGAAGGCCUUCGGGUUGUAAACUGCUUUUGUACGGAACGAAACGGUGAGCUCUAAUACAGUUUGCUAAUGACGGUACCGUAAGAAUAAGCACCGGCUAACUACGUGCCAGCAGCCGCAGUAA
rnacentral:rRNA from 1 species